AACGAUCAGAUACCGUUGUAGUCUUGACUAUAAACGAUGCAGACUCGCGGUAGGGACCUGUCCCUUUAGACUCUCCCCAGAGCCUAGGGAAACUAAAGUCUUUAGGUUCUGGGGGGAGUAUGGUCGCAAGACUGAAACUUAAAGGAAUUGACGGAAGGGCACACAAGGAGUGGAACCUGCGGCUUAAUUUGACUCAACACGGGAAAACUCACCAGGUCCGGAUACACGGAUGAAAGUCAAGCUGAAAGACUUUACUAAAUGAUGUAAGUGGUGGUGCAUGGUCGUUCGUGGUUCGUGGAUUGAUUUGUCUGGUUAAUUCCGAUAACGAGCGAGACCCCAGCGUUCUAAAUAGGGGGCUUAGCCAAAUGGUGUCGCAAGACGCCAUUAGCUUCGCCCUAUCCCAAACUUCUUAGACGUAUCAGAGCCGACGAGGUUCUUGAAAUGGGUUAAUAACAGGUCAGUCAUGCCCUUAGAUGUUCUGGGCCGCACGCGCGUUACAAUGGCAUGUA
rnacentral:rRNA from 1 species